rnacentral:misc_RNA from 1 species
GAAAUGCGAUAAGCAAUGCGAAUUGCAGAAUUCAGUGAAUCAUCAGAUCUUUGAACGCACCUUGCGGUCUCGGGAGUUGCCUGGGACCAUACUUGUUUGAGUGUCUUAAAGUAACCUCACCUACUCUAUUCUUUUUAAGAAUCGAGCUAAGUGGAAAAUGAGUGUCAUAUAUUUUACUAUAUAUGUCGCUUCAAGUUGCUGGCCUGGGACCACAUAAUGCUCCCUAACUCGCAGUGUAGUAAUCACACUUUACGUGUGAAUCUCACUGCAGUUAUGAGUAGUGGAUUCUCGCAUGGCUGAGGAACAAACCAAAACUUCUCAACUGAGACCUGAAAUCAAGUAAGACUACCCGCUGAACUUAA